rnacentral:rRNA from 1 species
GAUGAACGCUGGCGGUGUGCCUAAUACAUGCAAGUCGAGCGAACAGACGAGGAGCUUACUCCUCUGACGUUAGCGGCGGACGGGUGAGUAACACGUGGAUAACCUACCUAUAAGACUGGGAUAACUUCGGGAAACCGGAGCUAAUACCGGAUAACAUGUUGAACCGCAUGGUUCAACAGUGAAAGACGGUCUUGCUGUCACUUAUAGAUGGAUCCGCGUCGCAUUAGCUAGUUGGUAAGGUAACGGCUUACCAAGGCAACGAUGCGUAGCCGACCUGAGAGGGUGAUCGGCCACACUGGAACUGAGACACGGUCCAGACUCCUACGGGAGGCAGCAGUAGGGAAUCUUCCGCAAUGGGCGAAAGCCUGACGGAGCAACGCCGCGUGAGUGAAGAAGGUCUUCGGAUCUUAAAACUCUUUUAUUAGGGAAGAACAAAUGUGUAAGUAACUAUGCACGUCUUGACGGUACCUAAUCAGAAAGCCACGGCUAACUACGUG